rnacentral:tRNA from 1 species
GAGACGUUAGUAAAAUAUUACGAAACCUUGUCAUGGUUAAAUUAUAAGUUAAAAUCUUAUACGUCUUU